ensembl:lncRNA
GCAGGCAGGAAACUGAGUUGAACAGAUUGGGAAAGAGCAAAAACGGGCUGCCCAGGAGGCUGUCUCCUGGCCUGGAGCUUCCAGUUGUCAGUGGCAACCUGGAGUAGAGCAGAUUUCGGGUUUCCUCCUGCCUUGGGGCUUGGGAGAGAUGCGGUUGGAUACAGGGCUAGGAAUGAACUCUAUCACUUCUCAAGAUACCAGCGAUCAUCUAAACCUUCUUCUAAACUUUGACUGUACAUUUGGAAUCAUCUGGGAAACCUCAAAAAAAAUUUGAUUCUGAUGUGUCUCCCGGAAAUUAUUAUAUCAUUGGUCUUCAGUAAGCCCUGAGUAUCAAGAUUUUUAAAG